GACUAGAUGUUGAUCGGUUUACA
rnacentral:siRNA from 1 species